GGCUAGCCUCAAGUGAUGAUUAUUGGAGGUAGAGCACUGUUUGGACGAGGGGCCCCUCUCGGGUUACCGAAUUCAGACAAACUCCGAAUGCCAAUUAAUUUAACUUGGGAGUCAGAACAUGGGUGAUAAGGUCCGUGUUCGAAAGGGAAACAGCCCAGACCACCAGCUAAGGUCCCAAAAUAUAUGUUAAGUGGAAAAGGAUGUGGCGUUGCCCAGACAACUAGGAUGUUGGCUUAGAAGCAGCCAUCAUUUAAAGAGUGCGUAAUAGCUCACUAGUCGAGUGACACUGCGCCGAAAAUGUACCGGGGCUAAACAUAUUACCGAAGCUGUGGAUUGUCCUUUGGACAAUGGUAGGAGAGCGUUCUAAGGGCGUUGAAGCAUGAUCGUAAGGACAUGUGGAGCGCUUAGAAGUGAGAAUGCCGGUGUGAGUAGCGAAAGACGGGUGAGAAUCCCGUCCACCGAUUGACUAAGGUUUCCAGAGGAAGGCUCGUCCGCUCUGGGUUAGUCGGGUCCUAAGCUGAGGCCGACAGGCGUAGGCGAUGGAUAACAGGUUGAUAUUCCUGUACCACCUAUAAUCGUUUUAAUCGAUGGGGGGACGCAGUAGGAUAGGCGAAGCGUGCGAUUGGAUUGCACGUCUAAGCAGUAAGGCUGAGUAUUAGGCAAAUCCGGUACUCGUUAAGGCUGAGCUGUGAUGGGGAGAAGACAUUGUGUCUUCGAGUCGUUGAUUUCACACUGCCGAGAAAAGCCUCUAGAUAGAAAAUAGGUGCCCGUACCGCAAACCGACACAGGUAGUCAAGAUGAGAAUUCUAAGGUGAGCGAGCGAACUCUCGUUAAGGAACUCGGCAAAAUGACCCCGUAACUUCGGGAGAAGGGGUGCUCUUUAGGGUUAACGCCCAGAAGAGCCGCAGUGAAUAGGCCCAAGCGACUGUUUAUCAAAAACACAGGUCUCUGCUAAACCGUAAGGUGAUGUAUAGGGGCUGACGCCUGCCCGGUGCUGGAAGGUUAAGAGGAGUGGUUAGCUUCUGCGAAGCUACGAAUCGAAGCCCCAGUAAACGGCGGCCGUAACUAUAACGGUCCUAAGGUAGCGAAAUUCCUUGUCGGGUAAGUUCCGACCCGCACGAAAGGCGUAACGAUUUGGGCACUGUCUCAACGAGAGACUCGGUGAAAUCAUAGUACCUGUGAAGAUGCAGGUUACCCGCGACAGGACGGAAAGACCCCGUGGAGCUUUACUGUAGCCUGAUAUUGAAAUUCGGCACAGCUUGUACAGGAUAGGUAGGAGCCUUUGAAACGUGAGCGCUAGCUUACGUGGAGGCGCUGGUGGGAUACUACCCUAGCUGUGUUGGCUUUCUAACCCGCACCACUUAUCGUGGUGGGAGACAGUGUCAGGCGGGCAGUUUGACUGGGGCGGUCGCCUCCUAAAAGGUAACGGAGGCGCUCAAAGGUUCCCUCAGAAUGGUUGGAAAUCAUUCA
rnacentral:rRNA from 1 species